AGAACGAACGCUAGCGGCGUGGAUAAGACAUGCAAGUCGAACGGAUUUCCAGCAAUGGGAGUCAGUGGCGGACGGGUGCGUAACACGUGGGCAACAUGCCCGGAAGAGGGGGGAUAGCCCGGGGAAACCCGGAUUAAUACCGCAUGUGACGAACGGUGGCAUCAUGGUUCGUCGAAGGAGGGGAUCGCAAGACCUUCCGCUUCCGGAUUGGCCCGCGGCCUAUCAGCUUGUUGGCGGGGUAACGCCCACCAAGGCGACGACGGGUAGCUGAUCUGAGAGGAUGAUCAGCCACAUUGGAACUGAGACACGGUCCAGACACCUACGGGUGGCAGCAGUCGAGAAUCAUUCACAAUGGGCGAAAGCCUGAUGGUGUGACGCCGCGUGGGGAUGAAGGUCUUCGGAUUGUAAACUCCUGUCAUCUGCGAGCAAGGUUUGCGGGGUAAUAUCUCGCAGACUUGAUAUUAGCAGAAGAGGAAGGGACGGCUAACU
rnacentral:rRNA from 1 species